AACAUGGACGCUUGUCACGGCGGAACGUCGCGGUCAAGGGCUCGUAAAAACGGCCAUGUUCAACCGCGAUUUUCGACACCAAGACGUGUAUUUGUUGUCCUAUUCUGAUACGCUAACCUGUGGUAGCGUGAAGUCAGACAAUAUGCCAACAGAAGUUUGCGCAAGGUGGUCGUUAACUUCACUGCUUCGAGUCACCAUUGUGAUAGAGCUUUCCCGUCAAGCUGACCAGCGAACAAUUUUUGUGGAUUUCGCUAUCAGGUAGCAAACAGACGUGCCCUGAGGAACUGUGCAGUGCUUACCACACGGUGAGCCAUGCAUCACAUAAUGGGUGCUUAUUCAGCAUCUGGGGCUAAUUCAAAGGAAGUACCUCCCAAAAGCAGUGCUAUAAGGAUGUGAGCCACAAGUUUUUUUCAACGAACCGAUAAGAUGCCUGAGAGCCACCGGCCGGCUGCUUCUGGGCUACGCAGACAGUGCACUCUCCACAGUAAAGUUAUUGCAAAGUUGUGAGACAUAACUAUGUGACAUAGAACCUUCUUGCUAACUCAUACAGAGUUCUGCGGAAAUCACAAUGUACAUACAGAAAGGAGCCAAGUGGAGCUGUUUACGGGCCAUGCACACAGUUUUAUUAGUGGGCUUUCAGCACGUUUGACAAUUAUGUAUCUGAAUACAUCUGCUAAAGUUUUGUUCGAA
rnacentral:lncRNA from 1 species